rnacentral:rRNA from 1 species
AUUGAACGCUGGCGGCAGGCCUAACACAUGCAAGUCGAGCGAGCGGCGGACGGGAGAGUAAUGUAUGGGGCUCUGCCUGAGAGAGGGGGAUAACUACUGGACACGGUGGCUAAUACCGUAUACUAUCGGAUGAACCCAUAUGGGAUUGGCGAGUGGGUGGGGUAAAGGCUCACCUAGGCGACGAUCUCUAGCUGGUCUGAGAGGAUGAUCAGCCACACUGGAACUGAGACACGGCCCAGACUCCUACGGGAGGCAGCAGUGGGGAAUAUUGCACAAUGGGCGAAAGCCUGAUGCAGCCAUGCCGUGUGUAUGAAGAAGGCCUUCGGGUUGUAAAGUACUUUCAGCGGGGAGGCGUUACCCGCAGAAGAAGCACCGGCUAACUCCGUGCCAGCAGCCGCGGUAAUAC